GGGCGUGGCCAAGUGGUAAGGCAACGGGUUUUGGUCCCGCUAUUCGGAGGUUCGAAUCCUUCCGUCCCAG
rnacentral:tRNA from 5 species